rnacentral:rRNA from 1 species
GACGAACGCUGGCGGCGUGCUUAACACAUGCAAGUCGAACGAAGAGCGAUGGAAGCUUGCUUCUAUCAAUCUUAGAGGCGAACGGGUGAGUAACGCGUAAUCAACCUGCCCUUCAGAGGGGGACAACAGUAGGAAACGACUGCUAAUCCCGCAUACGAUCUAAUCUCGGCAUCGAGGAAAGAUGAAAGGUGGCCUCUAUUUAUAAGCUAUCACUGAGGGAGGGGAUUGCGUUUGCUUAGCUGGGUGGGGGGGUAACGGCCCACCAAGGCGAUGAUCAGUCGCCCGUCUCCGAGGAUGGACGGCCUCGUUGGGCCUGUGGCACGGCCCAGACUCCUGCGAGAGGCAGCCGUGGCAGAUCUUCCGCAAUGGACGAAAGGCUGACGGGGCAACGCCGCGUGAGUGAUGACGGCCUUCGGGUUGUAAGGCUCUUUUAAUCGUGACGAAAGGCCUUCUUGCGAACAGUUAGAGGGAUUGACGGUACCGGGAUAGAAAGCCCCGGCUAACUACGUG